GAAAUGCGAUAAUUAAUGUGAAUUGCAAAAUUCAGUGAAUCAUCGAGUCUUUGAACGCACAUUGCGCCCCCUGGUAUUCCGGGGGGCAUGCCUGUCCGAGCGUCAUUGCUGCCCUCAAGCACGGCUUGUGUGUUGGGCUUCCGUCCCUGGCAACGGGGACGGGCCCAAAAGGCAGUGGCGGCACCAUGUCUGGUCCUCGAGCGUAUGGGGCUUUGUCACCCGCUCCCGUAGGUCCAGCUGGCAGCUAGCCUCGCAACCAAUCUUUUUAACCAGGUUGACCUCGGAUCAGGUAGGGAUACCCGCUGAACUUAAGC
rnacentral:misc_RNA from 1 species